UUUAUUACCAAUUUAUCGAAGUUGUUUAUUUUAUUCUAAUGUUAACUUGAAGUAAUAGUAAAUAAAUUUUAUAGAAAAGAUCAUCAUUUUUAAGAUUCUUUUGCGUUUAUUUGCUACCACAGUAGUAAUACUUCUGUUAAUAUGUUUAUUUAUAAUAGUGAAAUUAAAAUGGAUGAUAUUAGGCUUAAAUAAGUUAUUAGAAUAGUACUAUCAACUUAAAAAUAAUUUAUACUGAAAUGAUUAAAACUAGGCCAGCUAGCUUUGAAAUUAAGUGUCGUCUAAAUGCAAAAAAUGCAUUUAGACGUCAAUUAAAAAAUGCUGCUUGGCAAGAAGAUUAAUUAAUACUUAAAUUAGAACAUCAUGAUUCGGCAGAAAAUUAAUUAAUUCUUAAAUUAGACUAUCAUGAUUAGGAAGAUUUGAUGAAACACCUUUUUUAUGUUGCCAUAAUGGUUUUGCUUAUUUUCACUAUUUCCGCAAGCUUUUCAAGAUUUUCAUUUACUUAAAUAUAUCAUAAUUUCAAUAUCAACUUUUUUUUAAUAUAUUAAAGUUUAUGUCUUUUUAUAUUUUGCUUUAUUUACUGGUAGUGUGGUUUAACCUAUGAACCAUAGGCUGCCAUGUUUUGAAACAUUUGGUAAAAUUUUUCUAUUGUGUAAGUAAUCUUAGGCCAAAUCAAGAUAUUCCCACUAACAUCAUCAACUGUAUAUCUCUUACCCACUUGCAGCAGUAAAUUUUAGAAAACAAUAACAUAGCAAUCAACUUUGCCUACAUAAUUUAAUGUUUUAUUUACAAACUAUAGUUAGUAAAGUUGCAGUUGUAUUUGUUGGAGAAGAUGGUGAUCCACCUGCUUCCAGGAAAGUUAUUUACUUAAAAGGUUAUGAUAAGUUCUACUUGACUUUCCUUUCUCUGGUGCUUGCUGUUAUUAAAAGAACAUUAUAUCUCAAUUUAUGGUCUUUACUAAAUCCCAAGAUCAAUAAAAGCGAGCAAAACCUAACGGAUAUAUUAUAUAGGUAGGGCUGCCAUUGUCCCGAUUUUUACGGAGGAGAGCACAACAUUAAGCUAAUUAAAACUUUUAUAGCGUUUUUCAGCAGAAAAACUGGGAUAAUCUCAGCCCUAACUAUAGUUAAAUUUGUAUUUUAUAUUUUUCAGAUAAUAUAUUAAGUUAGAAUGUCAUUUAUUCAUUACUAACCCGUAUUACGGGUUGCUUACUGCUAGUUCAUAUUAAAUUGUAAAAUUUAGAAUAUAAAAAUUAGAAUGCUUU